AUGAACCCUGGCGGCAUGCCUUACACAUGCAAGUCGAACGGCAGCACGGAGCUUGCUCUGGUGGCGAGUGGCGAACGGGUGAGUAAUAUAUCGGAACGUACCCUGGAGUGGGGGAUAACGUAGCGAAAGUUACGCUAAUACCGCAUACGAUCUACGGAUGAAAGUGGGGGAUCGCAAGACCUCAUGCUCGUGGAGCGGCCGAUAUCUGAUUAGCUAGUUGGUAGGGUAAAAGCCUACCAAGGCAUCGAUCAGUAGCUGGUCUGAGAGGACGACCAGCCACACUGGAACUGAGACACGGUCCAGACUCCUACGGGAGGCAGCAGUGGGGAAUUUUGGACAAUGGGCGAAAGCCUGAUCCAGCAAUGCCGCGUGAGUGAAGAAGGCCUUCGGGUUGUAAAGCUCUUUUGUCAGGGAAGAAACGGUGAGGGCUAAUAUCCCUUGCUAAUGACGGUACCUGAAGAAUAAGCACCGGCUAACUACGUGCCAGCAGCCGCGGUAAUACGUAGGGUGCAAGCGUUAAUCGGAAUUACUGGGCGUAAAGCGUGCGCAGGCGGUUUUGUAAGUCUGAUGUGAAAUCCCCGGGCUCAACCUGGGAAUUGCAUUGGAGACUGCAAGGCUAGAAUCUGGCAGAGGGGGGUAGAAUUCCACGUGUAGCAUUGAAAUGCGUAGAUAUGUGGAGGAACACC
rnacentral:rRNA from 1 species